CGCAGGGAGAAGAAGAAAAGGUUACAAAACCCUUGUUUCAAUUUCCAAACGCCGUAACUUCUCCGUUCUAGCUCCGAUCGCCGCACCAUUCGCGGCCACGCGUCCAACGCGUCGAGCUCUCUACAUUUCUGUCGGAUCAAUUUUACCGGUUCGUUUUAGCUUGCGGAGCUUAUUGGGUUUGAGUUGCUACGCGUAUGGGUGCGGUGUGAAUUAAGUUUAUAUAUAAGCAUUGGAAUUGAAAAGUAAGCAUUUGGAAGCUUGGUGGUGAUCAAAACUGAGAUUGUGGCUGGUUUCUUUGAGCUUGAAGGGCUGUGUUGUGACUUGGGUGGCUGUCUUGGAUUAAAUAUAGUGAUCGGCUAAGGUUUUGUGGGUAGGGAAUGUGAAUUUGGUAAAAAUGGAGGGAAGUUGUGCGUUGUUGUUGUUGCCUCAAGCUACCAAGCCGUCGCCGUUUUUGCUCGGGGUUAUCGUCGCCGAUUGGUUUCGUCGCUGCUAAAGGAGAAGACGCGUCCGAGAGAGAGAGAACCAGGGGAAGUGAUGCGCGAAGUAAGGUGACUAAUCGGAAGACUACCAAUAUCAUUGCUUAUUCCAUUCAACUAUAUACGUAUAGUCAUAGUAACUAGAACUUCGAUUUAAUUCUUAAAAUCUUUCGAUAUUACGAUUUUAAAUGAGUCAUUUGAUUUUACAAUUUAAAUCUUGUUAAGAUUUUACGUUUUACGUACUUAAUUUACUUUUUCGAUUUUACGUAAAAUCUCG